GCGUCCCAGUCCAUUGCUGGCACAGCAAGCUGACGUAUGGAUGCGCGGGAAGCCCAUGACCCAAUCUCUUGCCGUUUCGGACAUAGGGACCGUAUAGGCUUAAUGCCAGCGUCACGCUUUCAAAGAAGCGGAUGUGGAUAGCGAAGGCUCCCUAUGUGCGGCAUCCUUUGAUAGCGACGAGCACACUCGCUAGUAGCGUGCGUCCUUUUACAGACGUGACGUAUCGCGUGCGUCUUUUUAUGCAUUCGUGAUAAGACGCGAAUACAUGUUGCAUUCAAUAUUCAUCAUGUCCCAUUGCAGAAGCUAGCUGCAUGCGGGAAACUCCGAUUCUGCGUUUGUGGGUUAGCUCACCGGUAAUACCAGACAUGCAUAUCUACCAGAACUCACGACGCAUGGCAGAAUCAUUUACACAGGCCCUGAAACGUAUAGUUCGAUCAUGAGGAUCAUAAAUCUAGGAAAGGAUCCUAUCUAUUCAUCGCUAAAAUUCUCUCCAGACCACGUAAAACGACAAGGACACGAAAACGGACCCACGAGCAAAGUUCAGCAGCGAACGAGGAUGGUAUACUGAAUAGAUGAUCCACUCGUUGGCCUCGUCAGGGUUGGGUUAGAAGCUCGCGCAACCCCGAUGGCCAGGUAAUGGACCUACUAAACACCACCAAACCUGAAUAAUAUCUUACCAACAUUCAUAUAGCGAACGUUAUCAACCUAUGUUUCGCAUUCCUUAUGCCAUGCAAGGGCGCCCAUGUGCAUGACUCCCACUCCAUUCUUGUAAAGCCUCUUUGUGUAAAGCCGCACCCCUUGCUUACAACAAGCAAAUCAACGGCUUGUUCCAACAUUCUUCAUUGAUUUUAAGCCUAUAUGGUCCCUAUGUCCGAAACGGCAAGAGAUUGGGUCAUGGGCUUCCCGCGCAUCCAUACGUCAGCUUGCUGUGCCAGCAAUGGACUGAGUACUUAAGCUACUGGGACGCCAUCCAAUCAUGUCUUAUGAUUCCUCAAGGCUUUGUGCGGAUCAGAGGGUGAGCGUUGCGGCGCCACCUACGUUUUCCAACACUGGAUGUUUUAGCAGCAUUUCAUUCCUUUUAUUCAUUAAAGAAAUACUGAAUUGUUUUCAGUUGGCAGGCUUAUCUUCUCUUGCCAAGUGUGACCUUUGUUGUACGUCAUCCAUCGCCCUGUAUCAAAAAGUGAAGGCGAAGUGGAUCCAGGUCAUCGCCCUGAAUCCAUCGCCCUGACGGCCGGGCGGGGGAAGACCAUACCGUAAUCGCUGUUGGCAUUCGGGGACACUUGUAAUCAGGUCGUUGAAGAUUAUGGUGUUAGCUGUAAAGCUUAUAUCACUGAAAAUAUUAUAAAACUUAAGCAGUUUUUUUACGAAAGCAAUCCAGCAAAGUGCCAUGGACCAUGCUCUACUUCGCUAGAUGUAAAUUCGAAAUGAAAUAAGCGAAGCGGAAAUUGGCAAGCUGUAAAG
rnacentral:lncRNA from 1 species